rnacentral:rRNA from 1 species
CGCAGGCUGCAACCCGCCUGCGUGAAGUUGGAAUUGCUAGUAAUCGCGGAUCAGCAUGCCGCGGUGAAUACGUUCCCGGGCCUUGUACACACCGCCCGUCACACCAUGGGAGUUUGUAACACCCGAAGUCAGUAUCCUAACCGCAAGGGGGGAGCUGCCGAAGGUGGGAUAAGCGACUGGGGUGAAGUCGUAACAAGGUAUC